CGACGAGAAUCACUGAAAGAGUUUUCGGACAAUGGAUGUAGAGGAAAGUGGCGGACGGGUGAGUAACGCGUGAGGAACCUGCCUUGAAGAGGGGGACAACAGUUGGAAACGACUGCUAAUACCGCAUGACGCAUAGAGGUCGCAUGAUCUUUAUGCCAAAGAUUUAUCGCUUCAAGAUGGCCUCGCGUCUGAUUAGCUAGUUGGCGGGGUAACGGCCCACCAAGGCGACGAUCAGUAGCCGGACUGAGAGGUUGAACGGCCACAUUGGGACUGAGAUACGGCCCAGACUCCUACGGGAGGCAGCAGUGGGGAAUAUUGGGCAAUGGGCGCAAGCCUGACCCAGCAACGCCGCGUGAAGGAAGAAGGCUUUCGGGUUGUAAACUUCUUUUAAGAGGGAAGAGCAGAAGACGGUACCUCUAGAAUAAGCCACGGCUAACUACGUGCCAGCAGCCGCGGUAAUACGUAGGUGGCAAGCGUUGUCCGGAUUUACUGGGUGUAAAGGGCGUGCAGCCGGGUCUGCAAGUCAGAUGUGAAAUCCAUGGGCUCAACCCAUGAACUGCAUUUGAAACUGUAGAUCUUGAGUGUCGGAGGGGCAAUCGGAAUUCCUAGUGUAGCGGUGAAAUGCGUAGAUAUUAGGAGGAACACCAGUGGCGAAGGCGGAUUGCUGGACGAUAACUGACGGUGAGGCGCGAAAGUGUGGGGAGCAAACAGGAUUAGAUACCCUGGUAGUCCACACUGUAAACGAUGAAUACUAGGUGUGCGGGGACUGACCCCCUGCGUGCCG
rnacentral:rRNA from 1 species